rnacentral:tRNA from 1 species
GCCUUCAUAGCUCAGUGGUAGAGCGCGCCACUCGUAAUGGUGAGGUCUGUCGUUCAAUCCGGCAUGGAGGCA